rnacentral:ncRNA from 1 species
GGCAGAUGCAAAGAUGCCGGAUGCACAAUCAGGGUAUGAGAAGGGCAGUACAGCUGUCAUGGCGGGGCUAUCAGGGCUUAAUAUGGUCUAUGAAGCUG